AUUGAACGCUGGCGGCAUGCCUUACACAUGCAAGUCGAACGGCAGCACGGGAGCAAUCGUGGUGGCGAGUGGCGAACGGGUGAGUAAUACAUCGGAACGUGCCCAAUCGUGGGGGAUAACGCAGCGAAAGCUGUGCUAAUACCGCAUACGAUCUACGGAUGAAAGCAGGGGAUCGCAAGACCUUGCGCGAAUGGAGCGGCCGAUGGCAGAUUAGGUAGUUGGUGAGGUAAAGGCUCACCAAGCCGUCGAUCUGUAGCUGGUCUGAGAGGACGACCAGCCACACUGGGACUGAGACACGGCCCAGACUCCUACGGGAGGCAGCAGUGGGGAAUUUUGGACAAUGGACGAAAGCCUGAUCCAGCCAUGCCGCGUGCAGGAUGAAGGCCUUCGGGUUGUAAACUGCUUUUGUACGGAACGAAACGGCCUUUUCUAAUAAAGAGGGCUAAUGACGGUACCGUAAGAAUAAGCACCGGCUAACUACGUGCCAGCAGCCGCGGUAAUACGUAGGGUGCAAGCGUUAAUCGGAAUUACUGGGCGUAAAGCGUGCGCAGGCGGUUAUGUAAGACAGUUGUGAAAUCCCCGGGCUCAACCUGGGAACUGCAUCUGUGACUGCAUAGCUAGAGUACGGUAGAGGGGGAUGGAAUUCCGCGUGUAGCAGUGAAAUGCGUAGAUAUGCGGAGGAACACCGAUGGCGAAGGCAAUCCCCUGGACCUGUACUGACGCUCAUGCACGAAAGCGUGGGGAGCAAACAGG
rnacentral:rRNA from 1 species